UGUCGUGACCAGGAUUCGAACCUGGGUUAUUGCGGCCACAACGCAAUGUCCUAACCACUAGACCAGUGAUUCUCAAC